rnacentral:rRNA from 1 species
UACGUAGGUGGCAAGCGUUGUCCGGAUUUACUGGGCGUAAAGAGCGCGCAGGCGGUCGUUCAAGUCCGCGUGUGAAAGCCCCCGGCUCAACUGGGGAGGGUCACGCGAUACUGAUCGACUCGAAGGCAGGAGAGGGAAAGUGGAAUUCCCGGUGUAGUGGUGAAAUGCGUAGAUAUCGGGAGGAACACCAGUGGCGAAGGCGACUUCCUGGCCUGUUCUUGACGCUGAGGCGCGAAAGCUAAGGGGAGCGAA